GGGCUCGUGGUCUAGUGGUUUUGACGUCGCCCUUACACGGCGAAGAUCGCCGGUUCGAAUCCGGCCGGGCCCA
rnacentral:tRNA from 1 species